UGAGGAAUAUUGCUCAAUGGCCGCAAGGCUGAAGCAGCAACGCCGCGUGAGGGACGAAGGAUCUAUGGUCUGUAAACCUCUGUAGAGAAGGAAAAAUAACCCAUUAUAUGGGCUUGAUAGUACUUCUAGAGUAAGCCCCGGCUAACUACGUGCCAGCAGCCGCGGUAAUACGUAGGGGGCGAGCGUUGUCCGGAAUCACUGGGUGUAAAGGGUACUCAGGCGGGUCGAUAAGUCAGAGGUGAAAUUUCACAGCUUAACUGUGAAUGUGCUUUUGAUACUGUCGGUCUAGAGUUCAGAAGGGGGCAAUGGAAUUCUUGGUGUAGCGGUAAAAUGCAUAGAUAUCAAGAAGAACACCAGUUGCGAAGGCGGUUGCCUGGUCUGUAACUGACGCUCAAGCACGAAAGCGUGGGGAUCAAACA
rnacentral:rRNA from 1 species